rnacentral:misc_RNA from 1 species
GAUGAAGAACGCAGCGAAAUGCGAUAAGUAAUGUGAAUUGCAGAAUUCAGUGAAUCAUCGAGUUUUUGAACGCAUAUUGCGCCCCCUGGUAUUCCGGGGGGCAUGCCUGUCCGAGCGUCAUUGCUGCCCUCAAGCACGGCUUGUGUGUUGGGCCUCCGUCCUCCUCCCGGGGGACGGGCCCGAAAGGCAGCGGCGGCACCGCGUCCGGUCCUCGAGCGUAUGGGGCUUCGUCACCCGCUCUUGUAGGCCCGGCCGGCGCUUGCCGACACAUCAAUCUUUUUUCCAGGUUGACCUCGGAUCAGGUAGGGAUACCCGCUGAACUUAAGCAUAUCAAUAAGCGGAGGA